UACGUAGGGGGCAAGCGUUGUCCGGAUUUAUUGGGCGUAAAGAGCGUGUAGGCGGCUUGACAAGUCUGAUGUGAAAACUCGAGGCUCAACCUCGAGAUGUCGGCGGAAACUGUCUGGCUAGAGUCCGGAAGAGGAGAGUGGAAUUCCUGGUGUAGCGGUGAAAUGCGCAGAUAUCAGGAAGAACACCUAUGGCGAAGGCAGCUCUCUGGGACGGUACUGACGCUGAGACGCGAAAGCGUGGGGAGCGAACAGG
rnacentral:rRNA from 1 species